rnacentral:rRNA from 1 species
GCUUAAUAAUUUAUAUAUAUUUAAAUAAUUUGUUAGUAUAAUAUAAUUUAAUUUAUAAAUUAUUUCGUUGGGGCGACGGUAAUAUAAUUUGUAACUGUUUAAGUACUUAAUUCAAAAAUAUUUGUGUUUAGUGAUCUGUUGUUGACAAUUAAAAGUUAAAGUU